GAUGAACGCUGGCGGCGUGCUUAACACAUGCAAGUCGAACGAUGAAGCCCAGCUUGCUGGGUGGAUUAGUGGCGAACGGGUGAGUAACACGUGAGCAGCCUGCCCCUGACUCUGGGAUAAGCGCUGGAAACGGCGUCUAAUACUGGAUAUGUCCCGUCACCGCAUGGUGUGCGGGUGGAAAGAUUUUUCGGUUGGGGAUGGGCUCGCGGCCUAUCAGCUUGUUGGUGAGGUAAUGGCUCACCAAGGCGUCGACGGGUAGCCGGCCUGAGAGGGUGACCGGCCACACUGGGACUGAGACACGGCCCAGACUCCUACGGGAGGCAGCAGUGGGGAAUAUUGCACAAUGGGCGAAAGCCUGAUGCAGCAACGCCGCGUGAGGGAUGACGGCCUUCGGGUUGUAAACCUCUUUUAGCAGGGAAGAAGCGAAAGUGACGGUACCUGCAGAAAAAGCACCGGCUAACUACGUGCCAGCAGCCGCGGUAACAC
rnacentral:rRNA from 1 species